GAUGAACGCUGACAGAAUGCUUAACACAUCAGCAAUUGAUUGGUGGCGGACGGGUGAGUACCGCCUAAAGAACUUGCCUCACAGCUAGUGACAACAUUUAGAAAUGAAUGCUAAUACCUGAUACUGUGGGCGAGCUUUGCGUCCCAUUAGCUAGUUGGAGAGGUAACAGCGCACCCAGGCGAUGAUGGGUAGCCGGCCUGAGAGGGUGAACGGCAACAAGGUGACUGAGACACGAGCCUUACUCAUACGGGAGGAAGCAGUGGGAAAUAUAGGAAAAUGGACCGAAGUCUGAUGCAGCAAUUCGGUGUGCAAGAUGAAGUUUUCGGAAUGAAAAGUGCUUUCAGUUGGGAAGCGGUACCAAAAGAAGAAGUGACGGCUAAAUACGUGCCAGCAGCCGCGGUAAUUC
rnacentral:rRNA from 1 species